rnacentral:rRNA from 1 species
UGGGGAAUAUUGCACAAUGGGCGCAAGCCUGAUGCAGCCAUGCCGCGUGUAUGAAGAAGGCCUUCGGGUUGUAAAGUACUUUCAGCGGGGAGGAAGGUGUUGAGGCUAAUAACCUCAGCAAUUGACGUUACCCGCAGAAGAAGCACCGGCUAACUCCGUGCCAGCAGCCGCGGUAAUGCGGAGGGUGCAAGCGUUAAUCGGAAUUACUGGGCGUAAAGCGCACGCAGGCGGUCUGUCAAGUCGGAUGUGAAAUCCCCGGGCUCAACCUGGGAACUGCAUUCGAAACUGGCAGGCUAGAGUCUUGUAGAGGGGGGUAGAAUUCCAGGUGUAGCGGUGAAAUGCGUAGAGAUCUGGAGGAAUACCGGUGGCGAAGGCGGCCCCCUGGACAAAGACUGACGCUCAGGUGCGAAAGCGUGGGGAGCAAACA